UACGUAGGCAGCAAGCGUUGUUCGGAAUUACUGGGCGUAAAGAGUGUGUAGGCGGUGCUCUAAGUCUGUUGUGAAAUCUCCCGGCUUAACUGGGAGGGUGCAGCGGAAACUGGAAUGCUCGAGUAUGGGAGAGGUAAGCGGAAUUCCUGGUGUAGCGGUGAAAUGCGUAGAUAUCAGGAGGAACACCUGUGGUGUAGACAGCUUACUGGACCACCACUGACGCUGAGACACGAAAGCGUGGGUAGCAAACAGG
rnacentral:rRNA from 1 species